rnacentral:rRNA from 1 species
UGCGCAGGCGGAUUUGUAAGUCAGUGGUGAAAUCCCCCGGCUCAACCGGGGAACUGCCAUUGAUACUGCUAAUCUAGAGUACAGUUGAAGUAGGCGGAAUGUAGCAUGUAGUGGUGAAAUGCAUAGAGAUGCUACAGAACACCGAUUGCGAAGGCAGCUUACUAAGCUGUAACUGACGCUCAGGCACGAAAGCGUGGGGAGCAAACAGGAUUAGAUACCCUGGUAGUCC